GGCGCCGCGCCGCCUGCGCUCCGGGCGCGCAGGGCCGGGCGACGGGCCGGCUCGGCUCCUCCGCGGCGGGUCUGGCUCGGCGCGCCGGCCGCGCUCGGGCUCAGGUGCCCCUGCCCGCGGACCGUCUCUCUUCUCCGGGCUCGCGUCCCCUCCGCGGGCUCCGCCGGCGACCGGCCGGCUCCGAGGCUCGCGGCCGGAGCGGAGCGGAGUACGCACGCCGGGGUGGCGGGACUUCGGCAAGACCAACUUUCCGAAUCUUCUCGAUUCCCAGCCUGCGUUCUCUCGCCCGACUCUAAUUGUGUAAGUUUCACGAAGCAACAGCUUUGGGCUCCAGGAAAGCGCAGGAAAAUCAGAGAGGAAGGAAGCGCGCAGGUCGGCAUCGCCUCCAAAGACCACCCCCGCCGCCACAUUUGUCCCCCCUCAAAACAACAACAACAAAACCCUUAAGACGAAUAAGAAGCAAAUGUAGGUUCCCGCAGCUUCCGAAGCCUUUCAGAGGAAGCGGAGCCCGGCUCCCCCGCAGCCUCCUGGCCCCCACAGCACCGACUCCUCCUCCUCGGUUACUCUGUACGGUCUUGGAGAGGCUCUCUGAGGUUCCUCCUGCGGAGGUCAGUCUGAGACACCGGCCCAGUAUCUGUAACAGCAAGCCCUCCGACUGCAGAGGUGUCACACAAGGCGUGCCGAGCUUCAUAAGGGAAGGUGCAGCGGGCUCUGCUUGGCGCUGUGGUGGACAGUGGCUCACGGCGAGCGGGCGCGAACGCCGGACUGGCAGCUGCCCCGGCCCGCCUUGCCCUGUGUGAGCACUGGUCCCCACCCAGGCAUGCAGGGUGGAGUGAGCUGGGGGAAGUGGCAGGCUCCACACCGCCCUCUGAGCGCACUGAGCUGGGAUUUCGUUGAGAAAAUCGAGCAGAUAUGGAGGAAAGGGUCAGGGAGAAUAUGAAACGAGAACCUUUGCAGAUUCCCCGCCAGGGCUCUGAUGGUGCGGAUCGGUGAAUCUGAGGUGCACCCCUUUAAAAAAUCGACUGAGGUAAACACGAUCAAUAUGUAUAUAUUUAAAAGGUCGAAAGCAAAAGGCGCAUUACCUCCUCUCUUACCUGUUCUGCCUUUCUUGGCUCCCAACAGAGAUAUGAAACUUUUCUUUAAUUGUUUUAACGCAGUGCGGCCAGUUUUGAUGAAAGCGUACAUAUUUUAAGCUUGAGUCACAACAACAGAUUUAUUGUGAGGUGACAGCGUGUCAACAGCAUAUUUUCACAGAUGAGGGACAGGAUUAUCCAGUCGUGCCUAGAUUAAGGGCAAGCACCGGAAUGUGCGCCUGAGGUGCAGACAGGGACUCCUGCAUGCAGAACUCAGACUCCCCGUCACGUGACCACUGCCUAUUAAAAUAUUGUAAUACCUAAAUACUAUUGCAAAAACAAAAGUUGCUUUUCUUCUCUAUAAUUAAAUCUAAUUUGUUAAUUGUC